GACGAACGCUGGCGGCGUGCUUAACACAUGCCAGUCGAACGGAAAGGCCCCUUUGGGGGUACUCGAGUGGCGAACGGGUGAGUAACACGUGAGUAACCUGCCCUUGACUUCGGGAUAACUUCAGGAAACUGGGUCUAAUACCGGAUAGGAAUCCUUGCUGCAUGGUGGGGGUUGGAAAGCUUCGGCGGUUUUGGAUGGACUCGCGGCUUAUCAGCUUGUUGGUGGGGUAGUGGCUUACCAAGGCUUUGACGGGUAGCCGGCCUGAGAGGGCGACCGGCCAAAUUGGGACUGAGAUACGGCCCAGACUCCUACGGGAGGCAGCAGUGGGGAAUAUUGCACAAUGGGCGGAAGCCUGAUGCAGCAACGCCGCGUGCGGGAUGACGGCCUUCGGGUUGUAAACCGCUUUCAGCAGGGGCGAAGCUUGUGGUGACGGUACCUGCAGAAGAAGCACCGGCUAACUACGUG
rnacentral:rRNA from 1 species